GUGCUCGCUUUGGCAGCACACAGACUAAAAUCGGAAGGAUACAGAGAAGGUUAGCAUGGCCCCCGCACAAGGAUGACACGCAAAUUCGGGAAGUGUUCCAUUUU